GGCUGUAGCUCAGCGGCAGAGCGCUUGCUUUGCAUGCAUGGGGCACUGGGUUCGAUCUUCAGCACCA
rnacentral:tRNA from 1 species